GGAUGCGCGGGGCCCGGGGGCAUCCAUCGCCGGCUCCGCAGUGUCCCCCCCGCCCCCCGCUCUCGCCAAACCUUCCUUCCUUCCCCGCCCGGAGGUUCCCAGACCCAGCUCUGGGCCGGGAGAAGCAGAAGUCACUUUUUCUCCCCCGCCCCUGACAGCAGAGGAAAAGUUCCGCUCUGCGUCUUCGCGUUUUGAUGGAUGCUUUCCCUCAUUUUCUCUGAAAGCUUCACUAAGCCGUUGGCGGAAGGAGGAAGGAAGGAUUCAGUGUAAAUGCUGACCACGGGGUGAUUGUGCCCCGCUCCCCAGAGGAAGGGUAGCUGCCCCCCACCGCCGGGCCCCUCCCCCCAGCGCAGUCAAGGAAAUGCACGGUUUACCCGCAGACCGACCCACCCGAACAGCCCCCUCCCCAAGCCAGAAUAACCCUCUAGACGCAGAAGGUCCCGAAAUCCGGAGAAGUGUGAACUUUCCCGGCAGACAGUUUUCAGGGGACCCUCCGGCCCGGUGAAGAGCGACGGUGGAGGAUAGUUUCUGCAGCGCAGAAGGCGCCGGCGGAAAGCAGUCGGUGCCCCAAGCAGCAUCCCAGGUCUUUGUGGUUGCCAUGCAUGCGGGGAGAAUGCUUCCCCACCCCUCAACCACCGGACAAGAUUUCUCCUCGUCUGCUUGGCGAGAAACUUGUAAGCCUUUUCUUUCCCUUAUCUCUUUCUGCCUUCCUUCCACUUGGGGCUUGCUUCCUGUUUGAGAUCUCAUCUUUGGGGUGCAUGACAUGUGGUAAGGUAUCCUGGAAGUCAGAACUCGCCCACAGGCGUUGGAAAAGGGCCUCUUAACAUAAACGAAUGUGAGUAAUCAUGUGCAUAUGAGAUUAAAGUUGACUUGGGUAGUCAGCAUGAAACUGUAUAUAUGGGUGUGUGUGUAUGUAUGCGUGUGUGUAUCUAGACAGCCAAAGAUGAUACUGAAAGAUGGGCUUGAAACUACUUACUACUUUCAAUUUACUUGGUGUGCCUAUACAUUCAAGACCCUUGCUCAAGGUGAAGCUGUGUAACAAGCCUCAUAAUGCAUGUCUCUUUCUCAAGCUCAAACUCCCCUUGGCAGUGUGGGAAGACUGUGCCCACAGUACAUCCACCCAGCUCCAAGUACUGUCUAGGCUUUUCCCCAACACUGACACAUGGAAGUUUAAAACCAACAGGAAGAUUUCUAUAUAAAAAGAAGAGUGGGUGGUAGUUGCAAAUGACUUGUAGUAGUUUUUGUUAUUUUGUGCCUUUAGAUGAUGUGAAAAGGAGUGUGCUAUUCUGGGUGUGAAUUUGGAUAAAAAGGAAAUGAUCAUUUUUUCUUCUUUUAACCCACAGGUCAGAAAGCAUAUUAUUUUGAAACUUAAAAAAACAGCACAAUUAAGAAACAAUUAUAUUUUGGACUCUAAGAUAUUGAUACUACCUGAGGUCCUGUGUGCGUGAAAACAAACACAGCAAGAUAAUUUAAAAUAUACCAUCAUAAAAAGCAGUGGGCUCUAUACUGUUGUAAAAAAUAAAAGUAACAGAGUUGAGGAAAGAAGCAGGAGAUGGGGUUCUGUUCCACACCACCUCUGACAUCAAGGACCUUUCUGUGGACAUCUUCAAUCUGCUGCCCCAUGAAAUAUGUGUUAAAAGUUCCAAGUAGCCAAAUUAUGGAAAUGUGUGUUAAAAGUUCUCAAAUAACCAAAUUAUGGAUAAAUUUUGGAAAAACAUCCUGAUUGCACAGUGGAGCUGGCCAGCCUUUACAAUGAAUAUGCCCUGGUGCCUUCAGUUGGGGGUGUUCCUAAGGCAACUUUGAAACCUGAGUUUUGAGGAGCAGGAUUAAGCACUCUGAUCAAAGCAAGAGAUACUUGAAGUUUUGUGAAGACACAUCUCCACUGAUACUGACAUUUGGAAGAACUAAACCUAAUAGUCAUUUUUCUCCUCCCAUCAAAACAUGGGCAUUUAAUGGUUUGGUUCUAAUUAUAUUUUUUCAUUUUAAAAUAAAAAUUUU